rnacentral:rRNA from 1 species
UACAGAGGGGGCGAGCGUUAAUCGGAAUUACUGGGCGUAAAGCGCGCGUAGGCGGCUUUGCAAGUCGGGUGUGAAAUCCCCAGGCUUAACCUGGGAACUGCAUUCGAGACUGCGUUGCUAGAGUAUGGGAGAGGGAAGUGGAAUUUCCGGUGUAGCGGUGAAAUGCGUAGAUAUCGGAAGGAACAUCAGUGGCGAAAGCGACUUCCUGGACCAAUACUGACGCUCAUGUGCGAAAGCGUGGGGAGCAAACAGG